rnacentral:tRNA from 1 species
GGGGGGUUGGUGAAAUAAAUCAUUCCUGUCUGUCAAACGGGAGUUGCUGAAUACGGUUGGCACCCCUCU